GACGAACGCUGGCGGCGUGCUUAACACAUGCAAGUCGAACGGAAAGGCCCUGCUUUUGUGGGGUGCUCGAGUGGCGAACGGGUGAGUAACACGUGAGUAACCUGCCCUUGACUUUGGGAUAACUUCAGGAAACUGGGGCUAAUACCGGAUAGGAGCUCCUGCUGCAUGGUGGGGGUUGGAAAGUUUCGGCGGUUGGGGAUGGACUCGCGGCUUAUCAGCUGGUUGGUGGGGUAGUGGCUUACCAAGGCUUUGACGGGUAGCCGGCCUGAGAGGGUGACCGGCCACAUUGGGACUGAGAUACGGCCCAGACUCCUACGGGGGGCAGCAGUGGGGAAUUUUGCACAAUGGGCUGAAGCCUGAUGCAGCAACGCCGCGUGCGGGAUGACGGCCUUCGGGUUGUAAACCGCUUUCGCCUGUGACGAAGCGUGAGUGACGGUAAUGGGUAAAGAAGCACCGGCUAACUACGUG
rnacentral:rRNA from 1 species